AAGGCGGGACGAUCUGCCGCGGCAGAAAUGCUGAGGAAAGUCCGGACAGAGCAGGGCACCCUGCUGCGGAAAGCGCAGGUGGGGGUAACCUUACGGACGCCGUAACAGAGAAUAACCGCCGUCGCAAGACGGCAAGGGUGAAAACGCGAGGCAAGAGCUCACGACGCACGGCAGCGAUGACGUGCGGGUACGGCACCAGGGUCUGCAAGACCAAAUAUACCGGCAGCUGAGGGCGGCCCGCCUGAUGCCGGGGGGUAGGUUGCGAAGAUAAAUGGCAGAACAAAACAGAAACCGGCUUACGGUUCCGCCUUGUUU
rnacentral:RNase_P_RNA from 1 species